rnacentral:rRNA from 1 species
AUGGAGGACUACCAUGCAGUCGAGGGGUAACAGGGAAGCUUGCUUCUGCUGACGACCGGCGAACGGGUGCGUAACGCGUAUGCAACCUACCUCAUACUGGGGAAUAGCCCGAAGAAAUUCGGAUUAAUGCCCCAUGGUUCUUUAUUGCCGCAUGGUAAAAAAGAUAAAGCUUUGGCGGUAUGAGAUGGGCAUGCGUGACAUUAGCUAGUUGGUGAGGUAAAGGCUCACCAAGGCGACGAUGUCUAGGGGUUCUGAGAGGAUGAUCCCCCACACUGGUACUGAGAUACGGACCAGACUCCUACGGGAGGCAGCAGUGAGGAAUAUUGGUCAAUGGGCGAAAGCCUGAACCAGCCAUGUCGCGUGCAGGAAGACGGCCUUACGGGUUGUAAACUGCUUUUGUAUAGGAAGAAUAUUGCGAACGUGUUCGUGAAUGACGGUACUAUACGAAUAAGGAUCGGCUAACUCCGUGCCAGCAGCCGCGGUAAUACGGAGGAUUCGAGCGUUAUCCGGAUUUAUUGGGUUUAAAGGGUGCGUAGGCGGUUUAAUAAGUCAGUGGUGAAAUCUCACAGCUCAACUGUGAAACUGCCAUUGAAACUGUUAGACUUGAGUACAGAUGAGGUAGGCGGAAUGUGUAAUGUAGCGGUGAAAUGCAUAGAUAUUACACAGAACACCGAUUGCGAAGGCAGCUUACUAAACUGUUACUGACGCUGAUGCACGAAAGCGUGGGGAGCGAACAGGAUUAGAUACCCUGGUAGUCCACGCCGUAAACGAUGAUCACUCGCUGUUUGCGAUACACAGUAAGCGGCUGAGCGAAAGCAUUAAGUGAUCCACCUGGGGAGUACGUCGGCAACGAUGAAACUCAAAGGAAUUGACGGGGGCCCGCACAAGCGGAGGAACAUGUGGUUUAAUUCGAUGAUACGCGAGGAACCUUACCUGGACUUAAAUGUAGAGUGACAGACUGAGAGAUCGGUUUUUCUUCGGACACUUUACAAGGUGCUGCAUGGUUGUCGUCAGCUCGUGCCGUGAGGUGUCGGGUUAAGUCCCAUAACGAGCGCAACCCCUAUCGUUAGUUGCUAGCAGGUAAUGCUGAGGACUCUAGCGAGACUGCCGGUGUAAACCGUGAGGAAGGUGGGGAUGACGUCAAAUCAGCACGGCCCUUACGUCCAGGGCUACACACGUGUUACAAUGGUCGAUACAAAGAGACGCUAGCCGGCGACGGUAAGCCAAUCUUAAAAGUCGGUCUCAGUUCGGAUUGGAGUCUGCAACUCGACUCCAUGAAGUUGGAUUCGCUAGUAAUCGCGUAUCAGCAAUGACGCGGUGAAUACGUUCCCGGGCCUUGUACACACCGCCCGUCAAGCCAUGGGAGCCGAGGGUGCCUGAAGUUCGUAACCGCAAGGAUCGACCUAGGUAGAAGU